AUGGGCAGACAUAAAACUCAGCGCUUCUUUGAUGACCAGAGGGAAAAACACAACAAGAGAUCUGCGAGCCACAAGGAAGUGGAACAGCUGUCAGAUGAGGACAAAACAGAGCUAAAGCAGUAUACAGAAGAUAUGUGCAAAGCUGAUCAGCCUACUACAGCCCUCGAUGUGUACGUGCUCACAAAAAGCAACCUGCUCGGUGGAAAAGGAAUUGAACUCACUGUCGUUGAUGAAAAUGGAAAACAGCUCACUGUGGAACGUUACCCAGGAACCAACAAAUCAGCAGGCGAUAUAAAAUUGAAAUUAACCAAACCUGCAAAAUCCAUACAUCCAUCACAAGCUGAUACACAGCUGUACAGUGGGCGUUUUGACAUUGUACAGGAUGAUGGCAGGAUAGUCAGCGUUAACUCAGAUCAUCAGAAUGCUCUUUAUCAUGCUGUAGCACAAGCAACUGGCAGCGAGACAAAGGACCUAAAGACAGAAGCUUUGAUGCUACGUAAGAAAGUGAAAAAUGAGAUCCAGACAAACUUUGAGUCGUACACCCCCCUGCUUAUUCUCCAGAGAGGAUACGACUUCUGUCACAAAAACCCCAGUAAAUACAGCAUAACUGGAGGAAGUAUAAAGAAGACCGACGUUGCUCUGCAGAAAUACUUACAGAGUGUUAAAUUCAUCAGAAGUGGCGAACAAGUCCUCAUCAAAAUGUACCAGCUUGGAUUUGUUGGUAAAUAUAAAAGUGUUGUAAGUGCUCUGAGGUCCAGUAAGAACACCACAGGGACACUUAACACAAGCCACAUUCCACCGAAGGACUCCAUCAGACUUGCUGAGUCUUUCAUAGAUAACCCAAACUCAGUGAGUGAGCUUAAAAAUAAAAACCUGCCGCUUUAUAAACUAAUCAGCAGCAUAAAGACUGACAAUAAUGGAUGGAACCUGAUUGCCAUGGAGGUUCUGGGACAAGAUCACAGACGAGCUUUAACUACGGGCCCAAGCAGCCGCUCACAGACGGCCAGGAAACUUCUAGCAGACACCAUAAUUAGUGGAGACGUGGAGCUUCUGCUGAAACGCUGCAUGAUUCUACAUCACCCGCUCACCUCACAAAAGCUGAGAGAAGCUCUAGGUGAAAGCAUUCCCUCUCAGUGCCACGUUUUGUCCGAUGAAGGUAUCCGAGGCUACUACAAAGCAGGAUACAGAAACCUGGUGUCAGAGUACAGCCGCAUGGGAAUCCUGGAUCAGAACCAGUGUGAGCGUCUGGACGAGUGGGUGACUCAGGACCAGCACGAGGACACUAACACUGCAGAGUACAGCCAGGUUCUGCAGGGGUUACAGUAAAAAUGCUUAGUGAAUACAAUUUCUCUUCAGUGCCUUAUGAUAAACAUGAUGGUGCACUGAAAUUGCAUCGAUUGCAAUAAAUAAAUAAAUGGAAAAUUAUUUUAGCA
ensembl:lncRNA